rnacentral:rRNA from 1 species
CGGCGAGCGAAAAGGGAUCCGCCCAGCGCCGAAUCCCCCGCCUUCGGCGGUGGGAACUGUGGCGUUUAGGAGUGAGCGUGCCGGGGUCGGUCUGGACAGCAAGUCCCCCUGACCGGGGCCUAUCCAGAGCGGGUGCGAGGCCCAUAGCCGCCCGGACCGUCCCGGAUGCGAUCUCCUUGGAGUCGGGUUGCUUGGGAGUGCAGCCCUAAUCGGGUGGUAAACUCCACCUAAGGCUAAAUACUGCCGUGAGACCGAUAGCAAACAAGUACCGUGAGGGAAAGUUGCAAAGAACUUUGAAGAGAGAGUUCAAGAGUACGUGAAACUGCGCAGAGGUAAACGGGUGGGCCCUCGAAAUCCUGUGGCGAGAGGAUUCAGUCUGGCGUGGCGGACGCGGUGGUCGGAAAUCGGAAGGGCUUCCCGGGACCGGGGCCGUUCGAUCUCGCGUCCUCCGUUGCGCCCGACGCAUUUGUCUCUCGUCCGAAGGACGCUGCAGCCGGUCGGGAACCGCAAGCGUGACGGCCUGAAGGGCGGAAGAUGGCAGGUGGCCGGUGGCGUGCCUCGUGCGCGUCGCCGGUUGUUAGCCGUUCCGUCAGUGGCUCGUCUCCCGACCGUGGUGUCACUAGGCCCCCAGCGGCCUUUACGUCUCCUCCCCAGGAAGCGGGACAGAYCGUCGCAGGCGAAGUCCGCUGUUCCGUCGCACACCUUCGGUGUGGGCGGGCUUACGGACGGCGUCGUUGGCGGCGGCGGGCCCGUGGGAGAUCGGAGGCUGGCAGCGAGUAGGUCGGUCACCCACCCGACCCGUCUUGAAACACGGACCAAGGAGUCUAACAUGUGCGCGAGUCAAUGGGUCUUGAAUAGGCCCAGGGGCGCAAUGAAAGCAAAGGGCGGCCYGCGUCGCCCGAGUUGGGAUCCCCGCCUUCGGGUGGGGCGCACCAACGACCCGUCCUAUCCGGCUCGCCGGUUGGGCGGAGUGUGAGCGUACACGUUGGGACCCGAAAGAUGGUGAACUAUGCCCGGACAGGACGAGGCCAGAGGAAACUCUGGUGGAGGUCC